rnacentral:rRNA from 1 species
CCUACGGGUGUCAGCAGUGAGGAAUAUUGGUCAAUGGGCGGGAGCCUGAACCAGCCAAGUCGCGUGAGGGAAGACGGUCCUACUGAUUGUAAACCUCUUUUGCCGGGGAGCAACGGGGUCCUUGCGAGAGCCCUAUGAGAGUACCCGGAGAAAAGGCAUCGGCUAACUCCGUGCCAGCAGCCGCGGUAAUACGGAGGAUGCGAGCGUUAUCCGGCUUUAUUGGGUUUAAAGGGUGCUGAGGCGGGCUGUAAAGUCACCGGUAAAAUGUCGGGGCUCAACCCCGGCCUGCCGUUGAAACUGGCGGCCUCGAGUGGGCGAGAAGUAUGCGGAAUGCGUGGUGUAGCGGUGAAAUGCAUAGAUAUCACGCAGAACUCCGAUUGCGAAGGCAGCAUACCGGCGCCCGACUGACGCUGAGGCACGAAAGCGUGGGUAUCGAACAGGAUUAGAUACCCGAGUAGUC